AGCGAACGCUGGCGGCGUGCCUAACACAUGCAAGUCGAACGUGAAAUGGGGCAACCCAAAGUAAAGUGGCGUACGGGUGAGUAACGCGUAGGUAAUCUACCAAAGUGUCUGGAAUAACCGGCCGAAAGGCUGGCUAAUACUGGAUAGAGCGACGGGAUCCGUAAUCGGGUCUUUCGGGAAAGGGAGGCAGCAAUGCCCUUCGCACUUUGAUGAGCCUGCGUCUCAUUAGCUAGUUGGUGGGGUAACGGCUCACCAAGGCAUUGAUGAGUAGCUGGUCUGAGAGGAUGAUCAGCCACACCGGAACUGAGACACGGUCCGGACUCCUACGGGUGGCAG
rnacentral:rRNA from 1 species